rnacentral:rRNA from 1 species
GAUGAACGCUGGCGGCGUGCCUAUUACAUGCAAGUCGAACGAAGAUGUCUUCGGACAUCUUAGUGGCGAACGGGUGAGUAAUACGUAAGCAACCUGCCCACAAGGACCGGGAUAACUGCUGGAAACGGUAGCUAAGACCGGAUAGGUAUACUGAAGGCAUCUUUGGUAUAUUAAAGGUUAGAAACACAAGUGGAUGGGCUUACGGCGCAUUAGCUAGUUGGUGAGGUAACGGCCCACCAAGGCGAUGAUGCGUAGCCGGCCUGAGAGGGUGAACGGCCACAUUGGGACUGAGACACGGCCCAGACUCCUACGGGAGGCAGCAGUAGGGAAUUUUUCGGCAAUGGGCGCAAGCCUGACCGAGCAACGCCGCGUGAGUGAAGACGGCCUUCGGGUUGUAAAGC